UUGCAAUGCAACCAUAAGCCCAACUUUUAAUUUGGUCUGUCUUGUUUAAAGUUUAUUUAUAAUUAGUAUUUUUAUUGUUAUAAGUUGAUAAAACAUAAAUAGCAUUUUACUCGUGACUUAUGUUUUUAAUUUUUUUUAAAAAAUAAUUAAAUAAGACGAACGAUUAAAGUUGAACGUGAAAAAUUAUGACUGCACUUGAA
rfam:Oryza meridionalis cultivar OR44 (W2112) chromosome 9, whole genome shotgun sequence.